rnacentral:rRNA from 1 species
UGCCUACGGGCAGCAGUCGAGAAUCUUCCGCAAUGGGCGCAAGCCUGACGGAGCGAUGCCGCGUGAGGGAAGAAGGCCUUCGGGUUGUAAACCUCUGUCACCCGGGACGAAAACAAUGACGGUACCGGGAGAGGAAGUCACGGCUAACUACGUGCCAGCAGCCGCGGUAACACGUAGGUGGCGAGCGUUAUUCGGAUUUACUGGGCGUAAAGGGUCCGCAGGGGGCCUGCCAAGUCUGUCGUGAAAUUCCGGGGCUCAACCCCGGGACUGCGGGGGAAACAGGCGGGCUGGAGUUUGUGAGGGGCAGACGGAACACCUGGUGUAGCGGUGGAAUGCGUGGAUAUCAGGUGGAACACCGAUGGCGAAGGCGGUCUGCUGGCACACAACUGACCCUCAGGGACGAAAGCGUGGGUAGCAAACAGGAUUAGAUACCCGUGUAGUCC